CAGUCGCCACGGGAAUACGUAGGGUGCGAGCGUUAAUCGGAAUUACUGGGCGUAAAGCGUGCGCAGGCGGUUUUGUAAGACAGAGGUGAAAUCCCCGGGCUCAACCUGGGAACUGCCUUUGUGACUGCAAGGCUAGAGUACGGCAGAGGGGGAUGGAAUUCCGCGUGUAGCAGUGAAAUGCGUAGAUAUGCGGAGGAACACCGAUGGCGAAGGCAAUCCCCUGGGCCUGUACUGACGCUCAUGCACGAAAGCGUGGGGAGCAAACAGGAUUAGAUACCCCGGUAGUCCCUGUCUCUUAUAC
rnacentral:rRNA from 1 species